GAUGAAGAACUCAGCGAAAUGCGAUACGUAAUGUGAAUUGCAGAAUUCAGUGAAUCAUCGAGUCUUUGAACGCACAUUGCGCCCCCUGGUAUUCCGGGGGGCAUGCCUGUCCGAGCGUCAUUGCUGCCCUCAAGCACGGCUUGUGUGUUGGGCCUCCGUCCUCCUCCCGGGGGACGGGCCCGAAAGGCAGCGGCGGCACCGCGUCCGGUCCUCGAGCGUAUGGGGCUUCGUCACCCGCUCUUGUAGGCCCGGCCGGCGCUUGCCGACACAUCAAUCUUUUUUCCAGGUUGACCUCGGAUCAGGUAGGGAUACCCGCUGAACUUAAGCAUAUCAAUAAGCGGAGGA
rnacentral:misc_RNA from 1 species